rnacentral:rRNA from 1 species
CAUGAGGUCAGCUUGCUGACUUUGAUGGCGACCGGCGCACGGGUGAGUAACGCGUAUCCACCUGCCCAUGACUAAGGGAUAAUCCGUAGAAAUGCGGUCUAAUACCUUAUGUUGUCCGAGGAAGACAUCUGAUUCGGACGAAAGAUUUAUCGGUUAUGGAUGGGGAUGCGUCUGAUUAGCUUGUUGGCGGGGUAACGGCCCACCAAGGCGACGAUCAGUAGGGGUUCUGAGAGGAAGGUCCCCCACAUUGGAACUGAGACACGGUCCAAACUCCUACGGGAGGCAGCAGUGAGGAAUAUUGGUCAAUGGACGAGAGUCUGAACCAGCCAAGUAGCGUGCAGGAUGACGGCCCUAUGGGUUGUAAACUGCUUUUAUACGGGGAUAAAAGAUGUCACGUGUGACAUUUUGCAUGUACCGUAUGAAUAAGGACCGGCUAAUUCCGUGCCACCAGCCGCGGUAAUACGGAAGGUCCGGGCGUUAUCCGGAUUUAUUGGGUUUAAAGGGAGCGUAGGCUGCCGGUUAAUUGUGUUGUGAAAUGCAAGCGCUCAACGUCUGCCUUGCAACGCAUACUGUCCGGCUUGAGUACUCACAACGUUGGAGGAAUUCGUCGUGUAGCGUGUGAAAUGCUUAGAUAUGACAAAGAACUCCGAUUGCGAAGGCAGCUGACGGGAGCGUUACUGACGCUGAAGCUCGAAUGUGCGGGUAUCGAACAGGAUUAGAUACCCUGGUAGUCCGCACGGUAAACGAUGGAUGCCCGCUGUUUGUCCUCAAGAUAAGCGGCCAAGCGAAAGCAUUAAGCAUCCCACCUGGGGAGUACGCCGGCACGGUGAAAC